CCUACGGGUGGCAGCAGUGAGGAAUAUUGGUCAAUGGACGAGAGUCUGAACCAGCCAAGUAGCGUGAAGGAUGACUGCCCUAUGGGUUGUAAACUUCUUUUAUAUGGGAAUAAAACGUUCCAUGUGUGGGAUUUUGUAUGUACCAUAUGAAUAAGGAUCGGCUAACUCCGUGCCAGCAGCCGCGGUAAUACGGAGGAUCCGAGCGUUAUCCGGAUUUAUUGGGUUUAAAGGGAGCGUAGGUGGAUUGUUAAGUCAGUUGUGAAAGUUUGCGGCUCAACCGUAAAAUUGCAGUUGAUACUGGCAGUCUUGAGUACAGUAGAGGUAGGCGGAAUUCGUGGUGUAGCGGUGAAAUGCUUAGAUAUCACGAAGAACUCCGAUUGCGAAGGCAGUUCACUGGACUGCAACUGACACUGAGGCUCGAAAGUGUGGGUAUCAAACAGGAUUAGAUACCCUAGUAGUC
rnacentral:rRNA from 1 species